GGGGAUAACACUUGGAAACAGGUGCUAAUACCGUAUAACACUAUUUUCCGCAUGGAAGAAAGUUGAAAGGCGCUUUUGUGUCACUGAUGGAUGGACCCGCGGUGCAUUAGCUAGUUGGUGAGGUAACGGCUCACCAAGGCCACGAUGCAUAGCCGACCUGAGAGGGUGAUCGGCCACACUGGGACUGAGACACGGCCCAGACUCCUACGGGAGGCAGCAGUAGGGAAUCUUCGGCAAUGGACGAAAGUCUGACCGAGCAACGCCGCGUGAGUGAAGAAGGUUUUCGGAUCGUAAAACUCUGUUGUUAGAGAAGAACAAGGAUGAGAGUAGAACGUUCAUCCCUUGACGGUAUCUAACCAGAAAGCCACGGCUAACUACGUGCCAGCAGCCGCGGUAAUACGUAGGUGGCAAGCGUUGUCCGGAUUUAUUGGGCGUAAAGCGAGCGCAGGCGGUUUCUUAAGUCUGAUGUGAAAGCCCCCGGCUCAACCGGGGAGGGUCAUUGGAAACUGGGAGACUUGAGUGCAGAAGAGGAGAGUGGAAUUCCAUGUGUAGCGGUGAAAUGCGUAGAUAUAUGGAGGAACACCAGUGGCGAAGGCGGCUCUCUGGUCUGUAACUGACGCUGAGGCUCGAAAGCGUGGGGAGCGAACAGGAUUAGAUACCCU
rnacentral:rRNA from 1 species